GACGGGUGAGUCGCGUGGGAGCGUGCCUUCUGGUCUGGAAUANCCCUGGGAGACUAGGGCUAGUACCGGAUACGCCCUUUUGGGGAAAGGUUUACUGCCGGAAGAUCGGCCCGCGUCUGAUUAGCUAGUUGGUGGGGUAACGGCCUACCAAGGCGACGAUCAGUAGCUGGUCUGAGAGGAUGAUCAGCCACACUGGGACUGAGACACGGCCCAGACUCCUACGGGAGGCAGCAGUGGGGAAUAUUGGACAAUGGGCGAAAGCCUGAUCCAGCAAUGCCGCGUGAGUGAUGAAGGCCUUAGGGUUGUAAAGCUCUUUUACCCGGGAUGAUAAUGACAGUACCGGGAGAAUAAGCUCCGGCUAACUCCGUGCCAGCAGCCGCGGUAAU
rnacentral:rRNA from 1 species